UACAACGUAGAGUACUGGCUA
rnacentral:piRNA from 1 species